rnacentral:rRNA from 1 species
UACGUAGGGGGCUAGCGUUGUCCGGAUUUAUUGGGCGUAAAGAGCGUGUAGGCGGCCAGGUAGGUCUGGUGUGAAAACUCGAGGCUUAACCUCGAGAUGUCAUCGGAAACCAUUUGGCUUGAGUGCGGCAGAGGAGACUGGAAUUCCUGGUGUAGCAGUGAAAUGCGUAGAUAUCAGGAGGAAUACCGAUGGCGAAGGCAGGUCUCUGGGCUGACACUGACGCUCAUGCACGAAAGCGUGGGGAGCAAACAGG